rnacentral:rRNA from 1 species
CCAAGAAGUCCAACAUGUGCGCAAGUCAUUGGGUCCUACGAAACCUAAAGGCGUAAUGAAGGUGAAGGCAGGUUCGGCCUGCUGAGGUGAGAUCCCGGCUCUCGGGCUGGGCGCAUCACCGGCCCGUCUGCAAAGGCGGAGCAAGAGCGCACACGYUGGGACCCGAAAGAUGGUGAACUAUGCCUGAGCAGGAUGAAGCCAGAGGAAACUCUGGUGGAAGUCCGUAGCGAUUCUGACGUGCAAAUCGAUCGUCGAACUUGGGUAUAGGGGCGAAAGACUAAUCCAACC